rnacentral:rRNA from 1 species
UACGUAGGGGGCGAGCGUUGUCCGGAUUUAUUGGGCGUAAAGAGCGUGUAGGCGGUUCGGUAAGUCUGUCGUGAAAUCCUGAGGCUCAACCUCGGGCGUGCGAUGGAUACUGCCGGGCUAGAGGGUGGUAGAGGCGAGUGGAAUUCCCGGUGUAGCGGUGAAAUGCGCAGAUAUCGGGAGGAACACCAGUAGCGAAGGCGGCUCGCUGGGCCACACCUGACGCUGAGACGCGAAAGCUAGGGGAGUGAACAGG